GUAGUUUUGUUGAGAUGAAUGUAGGCGUACAGGCCCUUGUCAAAGCAUACAGACUUUUUCAUCCAACGACCGGGCAGACUUUUCAGAAACUCUUCAAAAGACAGAGUCUUACAAGACUUUUAGAGAAGCGGACUGAUACACAGGACAAUGAAUUGGCUGGUAUUUGUUGCGAUGUUAGUUGUGGCUUUUCCGUAUCUGGCGAAUAGCGCAGCAGUUCAGAGAAAAAACGGUUGUCCUCUUGGUGUAAAAGUCAACCAAGUUUGGUAUACUCCAGAAUGUGAGAAAUGCACUUGUUUUGCAAAUUCAUACAACUGCAAUGGCUGCGGCACCGAAGUUUUUUUCUACAACAAACGGCGCUGCUACCCAGUUUACCGAAACGAACUGAACUACCCAGAAUGCUGCAAACCGGAUAUCCUGUGCCGAGGCAAUGAGGGAUUUGACGAGUCCAAAAUGGCGAUCACCAACUAAGGCAUAGCACGUACUCUC